GGUAUUAUUCAGCACGACUUGAUUUUCUCCCUUCAACAAACAGAAUGUGUCCUUAAACCGGUUGAAUCUUCAGAUAUGAAAAUGACUCAGCUAUUCACCAAAGUUGAAUCAGAAGAUACAAGUAGCCUCUUUGACAAACUUAAGAAGGAACCUGAUGCUUUAACUUUGCUGGCCCCAGCCGCUGGAGACACAAUCAUAUCUUUAGAUUUUGGCAGCAACGUGAUAUGGUCAAUGAAUUCAAGUUGGAAUUGGUAGAAAAACUUUUUGCUGAAGACACAGAAGCAAAGAACCCAUUUUCUACUCAGGACACAGAUUUAGACUUGGAGAUGUUAGCUCCCUAUAUCCCAAUGGAUGAUGACUUCCAGUUACGUUCCUUCGAUCAGUUGUCACCAUUAGAAAGCAGUUCCGCAAGCCCUGAAAGCGCAAGUCCUCAAAGCACAGUUACAGUAUUCCAGCAGACUCAAAUACAAGAACCUACUGCUAAUGCCACCACUACCACUGCCACCACUGAUGAAUUAAAAACAGUGACAAAAGACUGUAUGGAAGACAUUAAAAUAUUGAUUGCAUCUCCAUCUCCUACCCACAUACAUAAAGAAACUACUAGUGCCACAUCAUCACCAUAUAGAGAUACUCAAAGUCGGACAGCCUCACCAAACAGAGCAGGAAAAGGAGUCAUAGAACAGACAGAAAAAUCUCAUCCAAGAAGCCCUAACGUGUUAUCUGUCGCUUUGAGUCAAAG
rnacentral:sRNA from 1 species